rnacentral:lncRNA from 1 species
UGGGUAGAGAUAGAUAUCAUCAUACAUUUUUAGUGUAUAAUGAUAAAAUCUUAUUUUGAGAGUUAUUAUGUUUCUACAUCUGUAAACCAACUUGAAAAGAAGCAGUCAAUAAAGAUGCGGACAAAAUCUCCACCGCCUCAAUUUGGUUCUCCAAUUGUAAGAUUGCUCCUCAGAGCUCUUGGUAAGUCAAAUAUUGCAAACUAUGAGGAAAACUGAAUGAACUAAUCAAUUACAAUAAUAAUUAAUAUUCUUUAACAAAAUAGCAAUAAUAAUAAUAAUUGAUAAGAGGUAGGCACCUUCUAAUUCCAAUAUGAUUAGUUCAUAUGUUCUCCAAUGUGAGGCCCUUCCUGAAAAGCAUAUGUUCGGUACUAAUAACCAUUUUCUCCAAUUCUCCACUCCAUUCACGAACAUCACUACACCUUCAAAAUAAAAUCCAUAAAUUAUAGUUUAUCUUAUUAAAUUUCCGAUUUAUCCAUUAAGUAUAUUUCUUAUCAAUCACACUCGACAUUCUUAACACUUCUAAAUAGAGAAUGAUGGAAAAUUUUGAAAGAUCGAAUUGUUAGUAUAAUUUUAAUUCAAAAAAAUGAAAAGAAGAGAUUUUCUAACUAACCGGGAAGCUAUAUUUUUUUAUUUCUGCAAUCUCCUUGGUGAUAAGUUGUUUAUGAACUCGUUGCCAACGUCCACGCGGGUAUUAGAUGAGGCUGAAGACGUUUUCAAGUUGAAGAGGGAUACAAUUGAGACAUGCAUAUAUUUCUAGAAUUUUCAGCAAACAUAAACUAUGCUCUACUCAAAAUAUAGAAAUGUAAAACUUUGCG